rnacentral:lncRNA from 1 species
AACCACUUUCGAGACGCAUCCGACAUCCAGAAAAAAACUCGCGACUCCGCCCCAUCUCCGUCUCCAGCGCUGUCAUCUCUGACUCCUCCCGCGCUCCCUCCCCUUCGUCCUCACGUCACCUCACCCACAGCCGCCGCCCCGGUCCCUGCAGUGCCUCCCCUCCCCUCCCCUCCCCUCCCACGGCCUCUCCAAAGACGGCGGCUGCGACGACUGGGCUCGCCAACGACCGAAUCCCAUCGGCGACAAUCCUCGCUGCCAAAACGCCGAGCACAUCGAGCCCGCCGCCCCUGUGCCAAUGCCGAGCCUCGCCACAAUCUUGCGUUUUGCCAAGCUGUUCGUGGUCGUGGAAGCCGCCCAGGCGGCGGGGUACGUGUACGCUCCUUCCCUGAUCCGGAUCGCCCGUAUCCGCGUCACCGGGCCCUUCACUGUUGACACUUCUUAACGCAACCACCGGAUAUCGGCGACGGCGCCAGAAGUGCCCUGGUAGGGUAACUCUAUUUACUAUUGGAUAAUUCCGCAAGCGCACAGAAUGUACCGCUGUAGCACUUCACCAAGGAGUAUUCCAAGGUAUCGUAAUUUAUAUUUUCCCAAGGGAAAGCGGCUAAGUGUGUUUAACAAAAAGGGGAAUGAGAUUCCUUGAGUUAUCUAGUAUCAACUAGUGAAUAAGGGUGGUAAAUAACGAAUAGGAAGGGUAGUGGUGAAUCCAAGGUCCUAUGCUAAAGGUAAAUGGUAGAGUUAGCUAGGUGGGAGGACAACGAGUGAGUAAAGGACUCCUAUGUAUCUAACUUGACUUCUAUGACUUACUUUAAUAGAUAAUUGCCUUAACUACGCUAGAGCCUUACUAACUGUGUGCGAGGGAUAGCCGAGCUGGUAAGACGCUUAGAAGGUUUUUCACCUAACCCCUUACCGAAAGCGACUAUUGGGCUUAUGGACGCCUUACCUUUUAAGAACUAGCCUGUACGUGAGGAGAACCUAAUGCCGCCCACGAUCUGUCACCUACUAGGGAGUGCGCUCCUACUUUCCGUUCAAGCCAGCGGUAAUCAAAGGUAAUCUUAAGUAUGAGCACCACGCUCACACUUAAUCCUACAACGCUAACUAGUUGCAGCUAGCUAGAGCUCCUAUACAAGAUAGGACGAUGAUGCACACACAGGAGUGGUUACAGGUCACUAACUUCACUAAGACAACUAUAUUACUAAAGUAAAUGCACAACAAGACUAAAAGACUUGCACUAAGUAAGAACUCAGUAAAGUAAAGUAAGAAUAAUAUAUUAAUAAAAGGAAAGUCUUACAAAAGUAGAAAGGUACAAGAGCUAUACCAGACUCUCCAGAAGACGACUCCGGAGACCCCGAGCUUCGCUCGACUCGACUCUAACUCCCACUCUAGACUAACUACUACUCUACUUGUAUGCUUGGAACUUGUAAUGCACUUGGCCUUGGAAUUGCACACUUGAAAUGAAGGAUGGAGGCUGCCUUUUAUAGAGGGAGAUGGAGUAGGGGUUACUCCAUCGCCACGUCAUCGAUCCGCGUGACAUCUUCUCUCCACCCUUGGAUCAAACCGACCUCACAACCGCCAUUUGAUCAACGGCAGGGGCAAAUCAACAUGUGGGACAUGUGGGGAAGGUCGGUGGGAGGCCACCGACCCUGGAACCGCCUUUGAUGUGGGGUCGGGCGACCCCACUUCUGGGCCUCUGGGCCCACCAGCAGUGUCCACAGGGGUCCCUUAUGUCGGUGGACUAGGUGGCACACCUGGGUCCCACCAAAGAGGGGUCGGGCGACCCCCUCCCUGUGGACCCAGGGUGUCACCUGUUGUCCCCUCGAUCUCCUCUUGAUGAUUCUGAUGUUGGCUUUGUCAAAUAAUGUCUUGAAUUUGUUGUUCCUGCAUAAACAAGCUAAGAGUACAAGUGGAACUAGUUAUGGAUAAAAUAUGUUCAUGUCAUGUCGUUUCCCCUUGCAACCGAGGCAUGUUGACGGUGUUUUGUAUGUGGAUUUCUAUGGUAUAUCCACCGUCAACAAGAUCCCCCAAGCUUAACCUUUGCUCGUCCCGAGCAAACAAUCAAACUUAGCCUCGGUGGAUCAGGUAUUGUUACUAUGUUCACAUUUCAAGAGUACCAUGUGUACAACAAAGUUCUUCUCUUUGCAUGAAAAAUUUAGCUAUGUAAACUUACCCCUAUUACCUUAGUCCCUUAUGGGGCUUAUGGCUUUUCCUUUGUCUUAGGUGGUUGAGAGACAGAACAGUUUGACUUGAGCACUAACUUUCUCAUUCUUAGCAAGUUUCAUAUCAGAGGUUUUGUGAUAUUUUCAAAAGAAAGCUUAAAUGUUCCUCUUAUGGUUCUCUCAUGUCACUCAAAUGGUGUAUGAUUCCUCACCAAGGCAUAUGGUAAGAGUUGCCUUCUCUAUUUCAUCCUAUUUCUAAAAGGCUUAUGUGGAGUUAAAGGUAGGGAUGAAAGGAGAUAGCAUACUUACUUUGCAUGUAUUGCGAAGUCAAAGCUCGGAUCCUUGAAGAGAAGUGUCAUACUCCCAGAUCAAGAUGUGCAAGUGUGAUAUAUGGUGGACUAGGUUGCUCCUUUAUUUGAUAGACUCUCUAUGUAUUGAGACAUGGCUAGCAUUUUUUUCUUCUUCUUUUUUUUUAUAUAUGAGCUUUCAUGUGCUCAAUUUUCUUUUUCUGUGGACUUGCACAUGUCCAUCUUUUUAUUUCAUUUUGCCUAGCCUUUUGAUGUCUCAUUUACCAAAUAAUGCUUAGAGAGAUGUUCUAACAUUUAGAGUAUGGAGCAACCUAUUUAGUGGAUGCGAAAUACAUGUGGUUGCGUACUUCCAGUGUAGAAGCAGCAUAUAUAUAUGUGGUGUGUACGUGAUCUUGAUCUUAGGAGCAUGAAAAGUCUCUUAACAAGGGUCAACAAGACUUGACGACACUCAACACAAAGCAAAUAGCUUAUGUGGAAAGGUUGCAAUUAUGUAAAGUAGAUAUGGCUGUGGUAGGAAUUCAUCACCAUUGAGGAACAAUUAAGGUUUUGAUCAUUUUAAGAAUAAAUCUCUGAUAAUCAUGCAUGCUUAGAAAAAUAUUAUAGUAGCUCUUGUCUUACUAUCUCAUGUCCCACAACAACUUAGACUUAGUUCUAGCACUUGCAACCCACAAAGUUUUUAGGUUCAUGGCAGUUUAAGUGAGCUAAGUGAUCCAUACUUAGAGAAAUACUAAGUUGUAUACUAGGCACUAGAGAAACAUUAACAAGCAACUAGUCAUAAUUUCCAUGAGGGAUAUAAACAUACAUGAAGCAUAUAUGCUAAAGGGAAAUGCUAAUAAAUAUUUUUUUUAAGUAAGAAUGAUAAAAUGCAUGAAAAUAAAUAGGAUAGAAUACUUACCUUAGUGGGGGAGAGGAUCUCCCCCAAGCUAGAUCUUCGCUCACUGUGGUGGCGGGAAAUUUUGGUACCAUCCAGCCCAGCGUUGUGCGUCUUCCUCUCGCACACGUCGGAUAUGUUGGCCGUUUUGUAACGCCAGUUGCAAUGUUGCUUCUUGCCCAAUCUGCAAUUCGCCCAUGUCAUUAAUGAGACUGUCCAUACCUGUGGGCUGGUGACGCCUAGCCCUGUCCCUUGGGCGUGGAGUGCGUUGUGGAGGUAGACCCAUGGAGUCUGAAGCAUCCACUGACAUCGCUUCAUCGCCCUCUUCAACGUCAUGGUGUGAGGAUCCUCCUUGCUCCAUCUGGGCGGCUUGCAUCAUCCUUCUUGUCACCCUGCGUGUCCCUGCAACAUCUGGACUUGCCACUCGGGCUAGUCUAAUGGUAAGUGUGCGGACCCCAUACAACCGGCGCCUCGCACAUGGGAGAGGAAUUUCGGUUGUAUAGCCCGGAUAAAUCAUUUUAAGUUCACCAUUUGGAUCUCUUAUGAGCAUGUUAGCAUUGAUAAAGAAGUUCUCAUCUACCACUCCUCUAACAUAGCCAAUGUCUUCAAAAUAAUGUGAUUCAAGUAAUCCAAAAGUAUCGGCUAUUCGAGUAAUAAAGGAUGUGAAAUAGAUGGGCUUCCCAUACUCAAUAGAGUUAAGCCAAUAGUUCACUAGCAGUUUCACAGGGGAGACCUUGAUUUUACUAACCAUGGCAUAGAGAAUUUUAAGUUCAUCAUCAAUUAAAGUAUCAGUUCCCAUGCCAGGAUAUAGAGUGCACAUGAUCCAGAAGUGAAGAAAGCGCAAGGUUGGAUUAUGGAUUUCAAUGGGAGUAGGAUUUGAACAAUCAUUAGAGCCAUAAAUUGCUUUCCAGAAUCUAAAUUUAUCGAACAUUCUAGUGGCAUGAUCUAGAUCAAGUUCACAUUCAUGUUCACACCCUAAAGCAGUGUUUAGCAAACUCCAAUUUAAUUGAUGUUCUUGCUCACACAUGCGAAAAGAUAUUCCAUUAUUUGUGAGUUUUAGGGUGCAUAGAAAUUCCUUAGCAAGCAAUUCUUUUCCAAAUUCAGGCACUUGCCAAAAACUACUCCAACCAAUUGCUCUAAACACCUUAUCGAAUUCAACAUCCAUACCUGUGCGGGCCAAAAGGUCCGGAUCGAUGAUGCUAGUGUGUAGGAAGAGACCCUCUCGGAUGAUGUAGUACCUUUGCAACUCUUCUUGGCUUAACAUGAGGCCGCUCUCGGGCUCUCUCAUCCUUGAUGGAGGCUCGUAGGGUACCAUCCCAUGGUAACCUUCUUCUUCCUCCCUUCCAUGAGCAUGGUGAGAGCCUUGAGAAGAGCUCUCACCCUUUGCUUUCUUGAACUUGCCGAAGAUAUGCUUCUUCAUCCUCCUACACAAGUGAGGCAAACCAAGCUCCUACUACUACUACUAUGCAAGGGGAAUCUUUUUGGGUUUUUGUUUUGAUGACUAUUUCUAAACUAAACUUGAGAAAUGGCUUGUAACAAAGAGAGAAGAGAAAGGAUUGUGAGCUCGAAAGGUUCUGGUGGUUUUGGGUGUGGAGUUGAGCUCACAAUGCUGUGGUAUUUAUAGGGGGAGAAGGGCAAGUAGUGGACCCACAAUAUAGGGGUCGGCCGACCCCCCUAGAAGCACUUUGAAUUUGAGUUUAGCUUUAUACAGGGAACCAUUCUGCAUGCUUUCAAGAUUUUGCAGAGAUGGUCCAAAAUGGGGGUCGGCCGACCCCCAUCCUAGCCCCUCCUCCACUUUAAACAUUGUGUCAUUGAUUGUCCAGAAAAGUAAAGGCUAGGUGUGGACCAAAAGUUUUCAAAUUGUUUCUGAGAUUCCCUGUUUUAGUGCUUUGUGAAAGGUAAAAGAUGAAUGGCAAAAGUGGAGACAUGUCUAAAGUGAUUCCUAUGGACCAUGGGAGCACUCAAGCAUGCCUAGGUGACCACUUUGCAGAAUUUAAGCUAGUGGAGUGGUCCCAAAAGAAUCAAAGAUGAAAGGAGCAUCUUAUGACUAAAGUAAAGGAUCAAGGGACCACUCUUUUUCAAACUUUAGCUAGUGUUACAAGCAUAGGACUCCAUUGUGAUUCAAAUGGUGGCCAGCAGGAGGCAAGUGGGGCCAAUAUGGGGGUCGGCCGACCCCCACAUUGGAGCUCCCAGAGCAUCCAAGUGCUGGGUUGGAACCUCUAUGACUAGCAAGGUUGAAAUGUGGUGAAGUGGGCCCCAAGGUGGGGUCGGGCGACCCCUUUGGGAGCUCCAGCAGCUCAAAUUUUUAUGACAAGUUAUUCUCAAGAUUUUAUUUAUUAUGGCUAAACAUUUUGUCGAAAUAAGAUAUGCAAAAUUCAAAGUAAGAAUGCAAUUGAAAAGUGAAUAGUAGAAAUUGAAAUGCAGAAAAUAAAUAUGGGAUAACUACUGAUUUACCUUAUCAGCAAGGGCUCCAUGUUUUAGGUCCGUAGAGCAUGACCUCUCUAUCUUGUUCAUUCUUGGGUGCAUCAGAUGGUCCCGGAGAUGUGGACCUUGAUUGCACCUCUUUCUCCCGCCAUACUUGCUUGGUAUUGAUUUUUGGUUCAGCGGGUUCCUCUUCUUUCUUUUCGGCCCUUUUGGCCGACUUACCUCUCUUGUCCCUUCGGCGUCGGAUGUGGCGAGGCUUAGUCGGAGGUUCUUUGUCCUUCACCUGCAUGUUAGCUUUAUAACCAUUGAAUGGACAUUUUACCUUCCAUCCUGGGAAUUGGAGGUGAAUCUGGCCGGACCCCACAUAGAUGACUGCAUUGACCGUGUUGAGGAAUGGCCUUCCCAAGAUGAUCGAGACAUCAUUAUUGGAUCCCAUAUCCAAAAUGAUGAAGUCGGCAGGGACGUAGUCGUCUUGGACCUUUACCAGUAUGUCCCUUGCCAACCCCUCAGGGAACCUGAUCGUCUGAUCUGCCAUCUGCAAACGAACAAAUGUGGGGUGCAAAGGCCCCCCUAGCAAAUUAUCAUAAGUUACCUUGGCCAUAAUGUUGACACCCGAUCCAAGGUCGCAGAAGGCGUUGUGGAAGAUUUGCGGUCCGAUCUCACAGGUGAUGGUCGGCAGGCCUGGGUCGUCCUUCUUGGUGAUGAAGGGCGAAUCCAGAAGAUAGCUCCAGUUGGAUUGUACCGGAGGCUUACCGAACCUCAUAGUAACUAGUUUAACUCCUUCAAUUGGGUCCUCAGGUUUCCCUGGGAUCUUACCUUGCUCGAAGGAUGGGACAGCUGCUGCUAAUUGAGCUAAUUGUGUUUCUAGCAUUUUGUUAAAGCUCAACUGAUUUUUCAUAGCAGAGUUAAAGCUAUCCAACUUUUCACUUAAGUUUUCAAGGAUCUUAUCAUUAGCCAUCAUUUUCUUGUUAAUGCUAUCAUUGAUUUUAGAUUGGCCUAAGACAAGAUCUCUAAGAGAAGGUUGGUUACCAAAAGAAUUAUUGAAAUUUUGAUUGUAACCAUUACCUUGAUUACCUUGGUAGAAGGGGCGCGAGUUCCAUUGCUGUUGUUGGGGCCGGUACCCAUUGUUGUUGUUGUUGAUGAAGCUCACUUCCUCCUUUGUUUCGGGACAAUUGUUUCCCGAAUGAUCAUCUCCUCCGCACACUUCGCACCAUGAAUCAGAUUCAAUGGCCCGUGUAGUGGCGUAAGGUUGAAUGGCCUCUUGCUUGGAACUUUCUUCCAUCUUCUUCAUUAAGAGGUCCAUCUUAGCAGAGAGCAUGUCCACCUCAUUCAAGGCAUGGACACCUCUUCUCUUGGGUUGGAGGCGUUCCUCAUUCCAUCCUUGGUUUAUAACCAUCUUUUCAAUGAGGUCCUUGGCAUCCUUGACAUUGUGUUGCAAGAAUGCUCCUCCAGCGGCAGCAUCAAGGUGACUACGGGCCAAACCGGUCAGGCCAUGGUAGAAACCUUGGAUUAGGAGCCACUCCUCUAUCCCAUGAUGAGGACAGGCGCGAAUGUACUCCUGCAGACGUUCCCAUGCUUCGGGAAUCGUCUCAUCUGCUUGCUGUUGGAAGCUGGAAAUCCUUCCACGAAGGGCGCUGGUCUUGCCCAUCGGAAAGAACUUCUUGAGAAAUGCAUUGGCGCACCUCUCCCACGUGGUCACUUCACCCUUGUUGGCGUAGAACCAUUGCUUCGCCUUCCCCAAUAACGAGAAUGGGAAGAGGCGAAGACGUAUGGCGUCUGCGGCGACAUUCUUGAUGGUGAAGGUGCCGCACACCUCCAAGAAGUGUUGGAGAUGGGCAUUGGCAUCCUCGUGUGGCUUUCCACAGAAGGGAUUAGCUUGCACCAUAUUGAUAAGCGCAGGCUUCAACUCAAAAGUCGCAUCCCCCAAGUUAAGCUGCGGACCCGUGGCGACAUUGUCAGCCGACGGCGCAGAGUACUCAGAGAUGGUCUUCUGGGCCAUAGCUUCUUUGAUAACCGGUGCAGAUACUCCUUCCUCUAACGGAUUCAGGUUCGAGAUGAACCUUUGAGGUGGAACUUGACGACGUCUAGUUCUCCUCAACAGUUGCUCAGGAUCUUCAACGAAGUUUGACGGCAAUUGGAAACCGCUCAUACACUGUCAGGCUUCACAAUAAAGGAAGACAAGACAAGUGAUGGGUUUAUCCCUAUCACUACUUGAUAACUAGCAAACUCUGGAUUCUCUUUUUGUUAAAACUCUUAGACAGACGCUCUCCCCGGCAACGGCGCCAGAAAUGCUUGUUGACACUUCUUAACGCAACCACCGGAUAUCGGCGACGGCGCCAGAAGUGCCCUGGUAGGGUAACUCUAUUUACUAUUGGAUAAUUCCGCAAGCGCACAGAAUGUACCGCUGUAGCACUUCACCAAGGAGUAUUCCAAGGUAUCGUAAUUUAUAUUUUCCCAAGGGAAAGCGGCUAAGUGUGUUUAACAAAAAGGGGAAUGAGAUUCCUUGAGUUAUCUAGUAUCAACUAGUGAAUAAGGGUGGUAAAUAACGAAUAGGAAGGGUAGUGGUGAAUCCAAGGUCCUAUGCUAAAGGUAAAUGGUAGAGUUAGCUAGGUGGGAGGACAACGAGUGAGUAAAGGACUCCUAUGUAUCUAACUUGACUUCUGUGACUUACUUUAAUAGAUAAUUGCCUUAACUAUGCUAGAGCCUUACUAACUGUGUGCGAGGGAUAGCCGAGCUGGUAAGACGCUUAGAAGGUUUUUCACCUAACCCCUUACCGAAAGCGACUAUUGGGCUUAUGGACGCCUUACCUUUUAAGAACUAGCCUGUACGUGAGGAGAACCUAAUGCCGCCCACGAUCUGUCACCUACUAGGGAGUGCGCUCCUACUUUCCGUUCAAGCCAGCGGUAAUCAAAGGUAAUCUUAAGUAUGAGCACCACGCUCACACUUAAUCCUACAACGCUAACUAGUUGCAGCUAGCUAGAGCUCCUAUACAAGAUAGGACGAUGAUGCACACACAGGAGUGGUUACAGGUCACUAACUUCACUAAGACAACUAUAUUACUAAAGUAAAUGCACAACAAGACUAAAAGACUUGCACUAAGUAAGAACUCAGUAAAGUAAAGUAAGAAUAAUAUAUUAAUAAAAGGAAAGUCUUACAAAAGUAGAAAGGUACAAGAGCUAUACCAGACUCUCCAGAAGACGACUCCGGAGACCCCGAGCUUCGCUCGACUCGACUCUAACUCCCACUCUAGACUAACUACUACUCUACUUGUAUGCUUGGAACUUGUAAUGCACUUGGCCUUGGAAUUGCACACUUGAAAUGAAGGAUGGAGGCUGCCUUUUAUAGAGGGAGAUGGAGUAGGGGUUACUCCAUCGCCACGUCAUCGAUCCGCGUGACAUCUUCUCUCCACCCUUGGAUCAAACCGACCUCACAACCGCCAUUUGAUCAACGGCAGGGGCAAAUCAACAUGUGGGACAUGUGGGGAAGGUCGGUGGGAGGCCACCGACCCUGGAACCGCCUUUGAUGUGGGGUCGGGCGACCCCACUUCUGGGCCUCUGGGCCCACCAGCAGUGUCCACAGGGGUCCCUUAUGUCGGUGGACUAGGUGGCACACCUGGGUCCCACCAAAGAGGGGUCGGGCGACCCCCUCCCUGUGGGCCCAGGGUGUCACCUGUUGUCCCCUCGAUCUCCUCUUGAUGAUUCUGAUGUUGGCUUUGUCAAAUAAUGUCUUGAAUUUGUUGUUCCUGCAUAAACAAGCUAAGAGUACAAGUGGAACUAGUUAUGGAUAAAAUAUGUUCAUGUCAUGUCGUUUCCCCUUGCAACCGAGGCAUGUUGACGGUGUUUUGUAUGUGGAUUUCUAUGGUAUAUCCACCGUCAACAUUCACCAAUGACGAAGCCCCGCGGCAGCGAAGCCGGCAGUGCGCCGGCGCGUCCCUUCCCCCGAUCCAACUUGUGUCUUCAUCGCUGUGUGAUGCCAAAUUAGGAGCACCACCAGGUGUGCCAAUCCCUUCCCUUCCGUUACUGAUGUGUGAAACCCUACCUUAUGCCAAUUUGCUAUCUCUAUUCGGAUCUGAUCUAAUGACGUGUAUACAUGUAUUAUGCCU